ensembl:lncRNA
CUCUCCCUCUCUCUCUCUCUCUCUCUCUCUCUCUCUCUCUCUCUCUCUCUCCCUCCCUCCCUCCGUCUCCCCAAUAACUAGACCUGAUCAAAAGCUAAAUAUGACAUCACUAUACUUUAUCAAUGAACAGAACAGAUCAAUAACUAAACUUGACAUCACCAGACCUGAUCAACAGCUGGACCUGAUCAAUAAUUGAACAUGACAACACUAGACCUGAUCAAUAGCUGGACCUGAUCAAUCGCUGGACCUGAUCAUUAGCUAGACCUGUUAAAUAGCUGGACCUGAUCAAUAAUUGAAUAUGACAUCACUACACCUGAUCAAUAGCUGGACCUGAGAGAGAGAGAGAGAGAGAGAGAGAGAGAGAGAGAGAGAGAGAGAGAGAGAGAGAGAGAGAGAGAGAGAGAGAGAGAGAGAGAGAGAGAGAGAGAGAGAGAGAGAGAGAGAGAGGUGUCAGAAAGAGAUAGAACCCCAAAGGGAUUAUGAAGAGAGUGAUAGAGGGUGUGUGUGUGUUGGUGUUUGUGUGUGUGUGUUUGGAUUCAUACCUUUCGUUCACUAUAAUCCUAAAAUAACACACAGAACACAUCCACAAUGUCAUUGGUAGCGCUUGAAAACUGCAUUUAUUGAAAACAAAUGGUUAGCAUUCAAUCAAUGGUGGUAUUGAUCUUCUUCAUGUGAAGCCAGCUCUCUGAGGCAGAUGCUAUGCUAUUGAUCAGUGCUAGCUUGAAUUCCCAGUAAAGGAGUGUUGCUGACGUCCUGUUUCUGCAUUGAUGAGCCACGCAGCACAUGGAGGCUAGGCUACCAUGGAUAUGUUAGCAGCACGCUUACAAGCACUUGUUUCAGAGUAGAGGAAUGCUGGAGGACUGCACGUCAUUGAAACUACAGUGUACUACAGUUUACCACAGUAAACUACAGUGUACUACAGCGUACCGCAGUAAACUACAGUGUACAACAGUAAACGACAGUGUACCACAGUAAACUACAGUGUACUACAGUAAACUAUAGUGUACUACAGUAAACUACAGUGUACUUUAGCUAACUACAGUGUACUACAGUAAACUACAGAGUACCUACCAGAGGCGGACAGAGUACAAGUAAAAUUACUACAGUCAGAUGUCUACUUAAGUAAAAUUACUGAAGUACUUGUUUUUAAAAGUACUUGAGUAUGAAGAGUACAAGAGUACAUUUUCUAAAUAUUGCGUAACUAAUAUUGCCACAGUGCUUACAUUUAUGUAUAGAAACGUCCUACAUGGAGUUAUGAAAAAUGUUAAUACCUUGGAGAAUGUAAAAGGAAUUGAAAGUAAAAUCAAGUCAUUUUCAUCUUUUUACCAUGUUGCUUUAUUUAACAUUUCUCACUUGCCCACAAGGCAAUAGCACAAUAGUAUACAGUAUAACAGUAUACUCAAGAACAUAAAAACAAUUGCUCAGCUUACUUAAAUAUGUAAUAUCAGAAAAGAAAAUUCAGCUAACAAUUGUAUGUAUGUGUGAGUUUCUCUGUUUUUUCAUCAAUCAAGUCAACAAUCGUCUCAUCUAAAUCUGACCAUGGAGUAGACUUUGGCGGAAAGCGAAGGUGAUUGCUGAUAGGCUGAAGGCUGUCCUAAUCAGUGGCGCCUGCACUAUCCAAUCACGCUUGAGAGGGAAACAACAAAUGUAGGGUUUCCGAGAUUUUUCUUUUCUCCUUUUAUUUUUUAAUUUUUAGAAGAAGUAACAGGUACUCACGGUUAUGGAUAGAAAUGUAGCGGAGUAAAGAGUACAAUAUUUGCCUCUCAAAUUUACUUGAGCAAAGUCAUGAGUGCUCCCCAAAAAUUAUACUCGAGUAAAGUACAGAUCCCUCAAAAUUGUACUUAAGUACUGUACUCAAAUCAAUUUGCUCCGUUACUGUCCGGCUCUGGUACCUAUAUUAAACUACAGUGUACUACAGUAAACUACAGUGUACUCCAGUGAACUACAGUGUACUACAGUGUUCUGGAGGUGAACUACAGUGUACCAGGUGAACUACAGUGUACCAGGUGGAGGUAUGGUGAACUACAGUGUACCAGGUGAACUACAGUGUACCAGGUGGAGGUAUGGUGAACUACAGUGUACGAGGUGAACUACAGUGUACCAGGUGGAGGUGUGGUGAACUACAGUGUAUCAGGUGAACUACAGUGUACCAGGUGGAGGUGUGGUGAACUACAGUGUACCAGGUGGAGGUGUGGUGAACUACAGUGUACCAGGUGAACUGCAGUGUACCAGGUGGAGGUGUGGUGAACUGCAGUGUACCAGGUGAACUGCAGUGUACCAGGUGUAGUUGUGGUGUAAUGUUGUGUUCUUGGGGAUGUUGUGUCGCUAGCAGCAGCUGAUCUGAGGACUACUGGGGGAGCACCCCCCGCUAUCUGGUGGUGGAGGCUGGGAGUCACACACACACACACACACGCACACACGCACGCACGCGCACACACGCACACACACACACACACACACACACACACACAAUCUAACUCAUAACACACGCACGCACACACACACACACACAAUAACUCAUCACACACACAUACACCCACACACACACAUACAUACAUGCUCACAUACAGAGUUUGGUAACUCCUUCAUAUAACGUGUUCUUAUGUAUACAUUUAUAUACAUUACGUAUAAAUUGAUAUACAUUUAUUGUGUAUAAAUAUUCUAUUCUAUUUAUUAGAUAUACAUUUUUUAGAUACACAUAUGUAUUAAAUAUAGAUAUUGAUUUAUCUCUCAUCUCAUCUUCAUCCGCAUCCGCUUAUCCGGGGUCGGGUCGCGAGGGGAGCAGCUCAAGCAGGGGCCCCAGACUUCCCUUUAUCUAUACUUAUUAGGAAGAAAUACUCAUAUAUUUGUAUUACAUGUACAUAUUUAUUAUCAUUAUCAUUUACUAUGUUAAUGACCUGUAUGUAUUUCUUCUCCGUUCAUAUCUCUCCUCCUAUUGGUUCUCGGGCCCUGCGAGGCAACGCCGAGUGCCUCGCGCGCUCCGCGGCCAAAGAUGUGCUGCCCUUUAAUGGCAUUUAGACGUGUGUUGCUUAGUGCUCUUCCUCCGCACACAAACACACACACGUGAUCGCGCGCGCACACACACACACUCAAACACACACACACACGCACACACACAGAUACACACGCACAGGCACGCACACCACCGCACACACACACCACCGCACACACACACACACGCUCACACACAUAGGCACACGCACACACAGGCACAUUAGGACACACACGGGCGAUGGUGCACUUCAAUACGCACGCGCACGCAAACAAGCUUCUUCACGUGUCUAUUCCGCCAAUUCUCCGCAGUGCUGAGAGAGAGAGAGAGAGAGAGAGAGAGAGAGAGAGAGAGAGAGAGAGAGAGAGAGAGAGAGAGAGAGAGAGAGAGAGAGAGAGAGAGAGAGAGAGAGAGAGAGAGAGAGAGAGAGAGAGAGAGAGAGAGAGAGAGAGAGAGAGAGAGAGAGAGAGCACAGAGAGAGAGCACAGAGAGAGAGCACAGAGAGCGAGAGAGAACUCGCCUGGGCUUUCCAGAGCGCGUGGAUCCUCCGUGGCUCGCGGCAGGGUGAGUAGCCUACAGAUUCCCGCCUUGACGUUACCGCGGGAAACUGCGUCGUGGCUUCUGACCGUGUCCUCCGCCAGUCAUCGUGACGUUAAAUGGGUUUACCGUUAGUCUCGGACCUCUUCGUGACGGUCAGGGUUUGACGUCUCGCGGGACGCGAAACAUUUUCUCAACAGUUCGUC